GAUAGUGUGGCCGAAAUGGCACUAAACUGUAAAUUUAGCUAUAGGUUAAUCCUCCCUAUCU
rnacentral:tRNA from 1 species